UUUAUACUCCCUCCGUCUCAAAAUUCUUGUCUUAGAUUUUUAUAGAUAUUGAUGUAUCUAACACUAAAACGUAACUAGAUACAUUCGUAUUUAGACAAAUACAAGACAAGAAGUUUUGGACGGAGGGAGUACAUA
rfam:Triticum aestivum genome assembly, contig: Triticum_aestivum_CS42_TGACv1_scaffold_129756_2BL